GCUGGGUGUGGUGACGCACACCUGAAAUCCCAGCAGCUCAGGAGGCUGAGGCAGGAGGAUCACAAGUUCAAAGCCAGCCUUAGCAAAGGUGAGGCACUAAGCAACUCAGUGAGACCCUGUCUCUA
rnacentral:sRNA from 1 species